GCGAUUCGGCAUGGUUUGAUUUUUAUUUUCUUUCUUGCUUUUGUCUUGUUGUUUUCGUUAAUUAUUGAUUGAAGUAUCAUUUUUGUUGUUGUAAUUUUUUGAUUUGAUUUUUUUGCGAUAGUUUAUUUGUACUGUGGAGGGACGUUAUUUAUUUUUUGGAAGUUGACUUUGUUUGUUGUACCUUGUGUAUCAGGGUUUAUUGAAUUUUAUUAUUUAUUUUUGUUUCCCGAUUUUAAAGGAGUUAAUGGUUUAUUUUGGUUGCUGUUUCAUUAGCAUUAAUAAUAUUCUGUUGGUAGUGAAAUGUUAAUCGUCUUUGAUGGUUUCUGGUUUUCUGGGAAAUGAAUUUAAUUCAUGCGCUUUAUUUAGAUUUUAUCUUUUGUUUAUUUUUCUUUAUUUGGCGUUAAAAUUGAGGGGGAUUAGCUCUUCAUUUUAUUCUUAUAAUUUUUGUGUUUAUCUAGUUUUGUGGUUUUUAUAGUGAUUUUCAAUUUGAUUAUGUUAAAAUUUUAUUUUCUCUUUUUUUGAUUUUCUCUUGAUUUAAUUUGUUUAUUGGAAUGUUUUCUUUAUUUUGUUUUGUUUAGUAAUUAUUGUAGAAUUAGUAAAUUUUAUUUUUAUGUUGUUUUUUGAGUGUUAAUUCUUUUUAAGGAAUUAGGCAAAAGUUUCAUGUCCGCCUGUUUAACAAAAACAUCUUUUCUUGUUAGUUUUUGAAGUAUGGUCUGCCCGCUGACUUUAGGUUGAAGGGCCGCGGUAUUUUGACCGUGCAAAGGUAGCAUAAUCAUUAGUUCUUUAAUUGUGAUCUGGUAUGAAUGGCUUGACGAGGCAUGGUCUGUCUUGAAUUGGGAUUUGUUUAAUUGAAUUUGGUUUUUGAGUUAAAAUUCUUAAAUGUUUUUAUGGGACGAGAAGACCCUAUAGAGUUUGACAUUCGAUGUUUGGCUUGGUUUGGUUUGUUUGAGUUUAUGCUUUGUUUCGUUUGUUUUGUUGGGGUGAUGGGAGGAAUUUUCUUAACUCCUCUUUAUUUUUGGUAUAUUUAUUUGUAUAUGUUUUGAUCCAUUUAUUUUGAUUAUAAGAUUAAAUUACCUUAGGGAUAACAGCGUUAUCCUCCUUGAGAGUUCUUAUUGGCGGGAGGGUUUGCGACCUCGAUGUUGGAUUAAGAUAAAUUUUUGGUGUAGGAGCUGAAUUGAUUGGGUCUGUUCGACCUUUAAAAUCUUACAUGAUCUGAGUUCAAACCGGCGUGAGCCAGGUUGGUUUCUAUCUAUAAUGAAUUUUUAUAUCUUAGUACGAGAGGACCGGGUAUUUGGAAUAAUUUUGUUUUUAUUGUAUUUUAUUAAUAGUUGCUAUUUUGGCAGAUAAGUGCAUUGGAUUUAGAAUCUAUUAA
rnacentral:rRNA from 1 species